GGUGACUCCUCUUCCUCUGGUCCUGAUGCAGCAUGAAACGUGGCACAAAGGAACGAGGAAACGUGGCCUUUUGCGCUCGGUGUCUGAAAGGAAUUGCAGAAAUGGAGGAGUUUCUGAAGAACCUGGCAAAAGAAAGAAUGACAUGUAAAAACCUGCCAGAUCCAGAGAGCAUGAAGCAAACAUUCAACAAUACCAGUCAGUUUUGGUGGAAUCACUUACCCUGAAGACUUGUCUACAGUAAAGCUGCUUGAUGAAUGGAGCUGGAGAAAUAGUGUGACAGUCAUUCCCUUGAUGUCAGAGCCACUGGUCUGCUC